rnacentral:rRNA from 1 species
UACGUAGGGGGCAAGCGUUAUCCGGAAUUAUUGGGCGUAAAGCGCGCGCAGGUGGUUUCUUAAGUCUGAUGUGAAAGCCCACGGCUCAACCGUGGAGGGUCAUUGGAAACUGGGAGACUUGAGUGCAGAAGAGGAAAGUGGAAUUCCAUGUGUAGCGGUGAAAUGCGUAGAGAUAUGGAGGAACACCAGUGGCGAAGGCGGCUUUCUGGUCUGUAACUGACACUGAGGCGCGAAAGCGUGGGGAGCAAACAGG